rnacentral:rRNA from 1 species
ACGGGGGGGGCAAGCGUUGUUCGGAAUUACUGGGCGUAAAGGGCUCGUAGGCGGCCAACUAAGUCAGACGUGAAAUCCCUCGGCUUAACCGGGGAACUGCAUCUGAUACUGGAUGGCUUGAGUUCGGGAGAGGGAUGCGGAAUUCCAGGUGUAGCGGUGAAAUGCGCAGAUAUCGGGAGGAACACCAGUAGCGAAGGCGGCACUCUGGGCCGGAACUGACGCCGAGGAGCGAAAGCGUGGGGAGCAAACAGGA